GCCACCGUGGCGCAAUGGUUAGCGUGUUGGGCUGUUAACCCAAGGGUUGUCGGUUCAAGUCCGGCCGGUGGCG